GACGGGGGAUGCAAGCGUUAUACGGAAUCACUGGGCGUAAAGCGUCUGUAGGUGGUGAUGCAAGUCACUGGUGCAAAACUCUGGCUCAACCGGAGGAAAGCCAGUGAAACUGCAUGACUAGAGUGUGGGAGAGGUAGAAGGAAUUCCCUGAGUAGCGGUGAAAUGCGUAGAUACAGGGAAGAACACCGGAGGCGAAAGCGUUCUCCUGGAACACAACUGACGCUGAGAGACGAAAGCUAGGGGAGCGAAUGGG
rnacentral:rRNA from 1 species